rnacentral:lncRNA from 1 species
AAGAUAAAUGCACAAACUAGCAAAAUGGAUUCACAAUUGCUUCAUUGUAUACUUCAUUACUAUUACGAAUGAUCAAUCAGUUACCAUACAUUAUGCAUAGACACACAUACUUAUCAUUAGUUCCCUAUGUACCCGAACACGGAACGACAUACAUGAGUAUCUGAAACACUGCUCCCCCUGAAUACGGAAUGGUUAGGGCACACAAAUCACAUUAUUUUCCCAUACACCCAAACACAAAACAAUUAUGUAUGGGUACACACUAAUUCCUUUGUCAAUACACUAAAUAUAGAA